CCUACGGGUGGCUGCAGUGAGGAAUAUUGGUCAAUGGGCGCUAGCCUGAACCAGCCAAGUCGCGUGAAGGAUGACUGCCCUAUGGGUUGUAAACUUCUUUUGUAUGGGAAUAAAGUGCAGUAUGUAUACUGCUUUGCAUGUACCUUAUGCAUAGAGGUAGGCUAACUCCGGUCCAGCAGCCGCGGUAAUACGGAGGAUCCGAGCGUUAUCCGGAUUUAUUGGGUUUAACGGGAGCGCAGGCGGGUUGUUAAGUCAGUUGUGAAAGUUUGGGGCUCAACCGUAAAAUUGCAGUUGAUACUGGCAUCCUUGAGUACAGUAGAGGUAGGCAGAAUUCGAGGUGUAGCGGUGAAAUGCUUAGAGAUCACGAAGAACUCCGAUGUCGAAGGCAGCCUGCUGGACUGUAACUGACGCUGAUGCUCGAAAGUGUGGGGAUCAAACAGGAUUAGAUACCCCAGUAGUC
rnacentral:rRNA from 1 species